rnacentral:lncRNA from 1 species
AGGGUUUAAAGACGACACGUGUUGAUGAAAGUCUGUGUUUUCACAAGUUUGCGGUUAAUUGGAGCAGGAGUGAUUGGAUUAUAAUUAGUUAAAGAUUAUAAUUAGUCUAUGCAACGAAAUGGGAUAACAGUUGGUGACGGCAUGCAUGGGCUCUUUCAUCACUCUUCUCCCUUGAAGAAGACCGGGCGGUUAUUGAAUGGGCACAGGUGAAAGCCACCCUUACCACAGAUGAACACUUUGAGCACCAUGGAGUGGAUUGUUGGUAAUCUGUCCAAGUCUCACCCAAACCUGAGCAAAGUCGCUACAGUGGGACUGCUUCUACCAGCCUCCACAGCUGAUUGUGAGAGAGGUUUCAGCAGUUGAAUGUGUAAAGACCACCCACCAUUCAC